rnacentral:rRNA from 1 species
UACGAAGGGGGCUAGCGUUGCUCGGAAUCACUGAGCGUAAAGCGCACGUAGGCGGAUCUUUAAGUCAGGGGUGAAAUCCUGGAGCUCAACUCCAGAACUGCCUUUGAUACUGGGGAUCUCGAGUCCGGAAGAGGUGAGUGGAACUCCGAGUGUAGAGGUGAAAUUCGUAGAUAUUCGGAAGAACACCAGUGGCGAAGGCGGCUCACUGGCCCGUUACCGACGCUCAGGCGCGACAGCGUGGGGAGCAAACAGG